GAUGAACGCUAGCGGCAGGCCUAACACAUGCAAGUCGAGGGGUAGAACACUUCGGUGUUUGAGACCGGCGCACGGGUGCGUAACGCGUAUGCAAUCUACCUUGUACAGGGGAAUAGCCCAGAGAAAUUUGGAUUAAUGCCCCAUAGUAUAUAACCUUCGCAUGUUGGUUAUAUUAAAGUUCCAACGGUACAAGAUGAGCAUGCGUCCCAUUAGUUAGUUGGUAAGGUAACGGGUUACCAAGACGAUGAUGGGUAGGGGUCCUGAGAGGGAGAUCCCCCACACUGGUACUGAGACACGGACCAGACUCCUACGGGAGGCAGCAGUGAGGAAUAUUGGUCAAUGGGCGCAAGCCUGAACCAGCCAUGCCGCGUGCAGGAAGACGGUCCUAUGGAUUGUAAACUGCUUUUAUACAGGAAGAAACAACUCUACGUGUAGAGUCUUGACGGUACUGUAGGAAUAAGGAUCGGCUAACUCCGUGCCAGCCGCCGCCGUAACAC
rnacentral:rRNA from 1 species